AUUCCCUCUGUGUGUACAGAGAGGUGAUUUGUGCACAUCCUACCCCCACACUUUAGCCAGGGAAGAUUGAUGGGGCAGUGGCCUUGCCUGGCUGCUGGCAGUGGAGGAAAAGCUGUGCCGGCACCAGAGGAGGGGACAGCAGAGAGAGCCUGGGCUCGCCCACAGCAGGGGCAACGUGCCAGCUGUCAGGGAGAACGGGAGGGAAAUCGCUGCUCCCGAGGUGCUGCAGGACAGCUCUGUAAACAGAGUCACCCCGUGAAGAAUUACUGCCAUCCUGCUGAAACCUCAGCAGUAUUUGGGUAAACAGCUCGAGAAAUGCUGAGCAGAGAAGUGCUGGGACUUGUGUUUCCACCAGCUCUCCGCAGCUCCCUCCCUGGACUUCUGACUGUGCAUUUUCACUCAGUUGUUCCAGCAGGCAGCUGGGUGACAUCUAAACAUCUUAAGUGGGCUAAGCUGCUCUGAUCGCUGGAUUUCUCCUCCUGCUUCCCUGUCUUGAAGGAAGCCUGUGAAUUUCUGGUGGCUGAUCACUCGGUGUCACUUUGUUUUAUGGCUGCUUCUGGACAGGAAAAGCCUUUCCAGACACUGAAGAAUGAGAUCAAAUCUCUGGAGAAUGAAGUUUUUUUACCUACAGAACAAUGGGAUUCAUCAGCAAGGCUGGUUGAGAAGUCCCUCUCUGCAGACACCAGCCUGGAAAGCCACUUUUGGAGCCCAGCCAGCACAGGCACGGAAAUUGCUGUGCCCUGACUCAGCAGAGGAGGGAAUCGCCUUUUGCAACUGCCCCACGCCAAGCACUGAGCCUGGACAUCAAAACUGAUCUUUCACAAGCACUCUAGCAGCUGAUGCAGCGACACUUCCCUCCUUUCCUGAGGACUGGAUUUACUGCCAGCAUGAGCUGACUGCCUCUGGAAAUUCUGCAAACAGCCAUGGUUCCCAUUCCAGCAAAGACAGAAGACUCUGCAGAAAUACAACAGUGGAUAUUCACUUUUCACAUCUUCCUUUGAGGCAGGAGGAAAGCUCACACUGCAGAUUAGACCCACCUGGGUCUGGUACAGUUCAACAAUUCCUAACCCUUUCCUUUUUUUUGCACAUUUGGAUACUUCAACUUGCCAUCCAUAGAAAUGUGGAUUUCCACGGGAAGACUUUGAUUCACAGUGCAUUAGAGAGCCUUUUCAAAUUCCUGCUGCUUACCUAUGAGAGCAGAAUAUUCCUCAUGGAGCAGGGAGGUUUAUGGAGAUUUUAAACGUGCAUUAUAGAUACUUACUAGGAUGAAGCAGUACAUUUGCAUUUAGAUAGAUGCUGCUAUGGCUGUGAAUACGUAAUCAUUUUGAAACUAAUUUUUGUCAAUGAGCUGCUUUUAAAGGAUUCUUAAAAAGAAUUAUGAGAAACAAUAGAUCUUAAAUAACAGUAUUAUUCUCUGUUAAUAUCAAAAUUAGUGGUAUGUGAGAGACUUCAUUCCUUUUUGCAAAUAGAGGAGUGAGUAACUGAGGUGUUCCGUGUCCAGUGCCUGUCAGAAUGGGCAACACAACCCAGAAUUCAAAUUUUUUAUCUGCCUAGACCCUGGUGCCUCUAAACAGCCUGCUGGAAAGGUGUCAGAAAUGUGGCAUUUUUGUGAAAGUCUGUGAGGAAAGUGUAUAGACCUUGCACAAGAGUCUGUCACUGAUUUAUUUAUUCCAAGUAUUGGAAUGCAACCACGAGUCAUUUUUUAAUCAGACAGUGUUCUCUGGGGGGCUCGGACACCCAUUGCAGGAAUUGAUGCAAUCGUGCUCCAGUCUUGCAAUGAGCUGUGGUCAGAGUUUGCAAGACUUUCCCUAAAUUCACGUUUCUGCCAUCAGGCUGGCACUGGGCAGCCCUGCUGGUGACGGAGAUGGGAUCCAGCACUGUCACAGCCCAAGAUUUCUGCCUGACUCCAAGGGUAUUUACUUGGUAUGGUUUCUGUAGUGACUGACAAGGACUGACACAUCACUCUGAUGGGUGUUGGAGGACAAUAAUCACACAUUUAUGUGUAUGACAAGUUACACUGACUGCAGACACUGCAGAAACCUUUUGGUUGCCAAAUCCUGGCAAGUUUAGCAUGGGUUCUGGAGCACGAGAUCAGAGUCUUCCAUGUUCUUUGCAUGUGCCCAAAACGAAAAGGUUCUAGAGGUCAGAUUAGGCCCUCAAAUCCAUCCGUGCUGCGCCCCAUGUCAGCAAACCCUCAGUGACCCACCUGCCACAAUGACUUUGUGCAGGUGUGAUUGGCAGAAGCUCAGAAAACAGCUCUGUUCAUAGUUCCAGGAGAUGAGCUGUAACCAGCAGUUCACUCUCUUGGCAUUGUGUUACCUCUACAGCAUGAGCCAAAAUGGAAAAGAAAUCCCUUUUUUUAGCUGCUCAGCUGAGAUGAGCUGAGGACAGCACUCUCCUGAAGCAGCAGCUCUGGGAGCUGUCUCGUUUUCGGAGGAGAGCUGCACUUCAUCUAAACCAAACAGCUCGUGAGUGGAUCUCAGGGAGGCUGAGCAUGAACCCACUCCGUGUUCCAGCACUGCUGAGAGCCAGCUGACACGGGAGAGGAUGUUCUGUCCCCUAAUGGUGUGACAAACACUCCAGGCUGACCACCCCAGCACUGCUGUCACCAUCAGAGUGUUGAUUCAACAAGGUGGGAACAGGAGGGAAAAGCAGUGGCUCAGCACAAGCUGGAGUUUGGCAAACAGCACUGGUGGGCACAAAUCCCCCUCCCUAGGAAAGGAAAAUCAUUAAAUUAAUUUAAAUUCAUUUAAAAGCUGGAUCUCUUGGAUCUCUCCAUUUAAAAUAAGGCAGCAGCCUGCUCAGAAAAACUGCACCAACAGCUCAGCAGGCACCUAAAAAAAUCUGUCUUUUGCCACCUGGUUCCCAGGUUGUCAUCUGGUGGUGUUAAACUUUUGGUGAGAGACUUGCGAGCCAUUUCCUGUGUUGCACAUCCACUGAUAUUUUGGUUCUGAAAGGGUAGGAUGGGGGCUGUGCCCACCACCCCCCAGACUUCCACAGGGAAUAAAUAACCCCACGUGCCAGGCAGUUCUGCUGUCAGACGUUUACAGGCAAGAAAAUGAAACUCCUGCUCACUGUGAGUCUCGUGCUACGAAAUUCAGCCCUGGUGAAACCCUGAAGCUGUAAAACUGGGAGAUGCUUUCCGAGAGAUAAGAACAGACCCGGGUGUCAGGAGCUUCAGAGCCUUGGCAGAUGGGACUGCAAAGCUGCUUCUGACAGAAAACUGAGCUGAGCCAUGGGGAGAUGAAUGAGCUGACACCCAGAGUUCAAGUGUGGGGAAGUUUAUUUGGCCUGCAAAUGUCUUGAUUUCCAGCCUGCUGUCUAUACCCUUCUUGGGACUAAAAAUAAACCUCCAGACACAGUAAAGAAAGUAAUUUGCUGGCACUUGGGCCUGGUUUAAGAAUCAAAAAAGAAGGAAACAUUAGUCGCAUUUCUGGAAAAAGCACUUAAUCAGCAAACCAGAGUUCACUAUGGUUAAUUCUCCUUCCUUUUACCAAGCAGUCUUCCCCUUCAAGCCUCAAUAAUUUUUUUUUUCCCCAACAAAAGACAGAAAUAGUUUUAGAGCAACUUUUACUAAUGCUUACUGUGGCAUAUCGUGCUUAUAAAAUCUUUUUAAUCCGUAACCAUUUAACUUUCCUUGGCAAGAUAAAUCCACGGCGAUACAGAUAUUUUGUAAAUACCACUCCAACUCAGCAUCUGAGUCAGAGCAGAUUGUAAAAGAAAGUGGCAUUUCAAACAGACUGGGGCUUGCAGGGCAGCAGGACACAGUAAGAAAGAAAUUUAGAAUGAAGCAGAGUUGAGAGUUCAGGAUGUUCUGCAUGGCACAGAUGGCAACUCUGUGCCCUGGACUUGUGUGAGGGCAUUUCUGAGGUCAGCAGCCCUCCCUGGGGGAAGUGAGUCAGCAGAAGCAUAAGUGAUUUCAACACCUUUGGUAUAAAUUCCAUAGAUUAGUAAUAGGAACUUUACAAAACUCCUGCUGAUUCGGGACCUGUGAGACUUUCCACUGAGUAAUUUUAAAAAAUCACACACACUGCCACAAUAUUUGCAUUGCAGCAGUGCUGAGGACUCGAGCAGGAGCAAGAUUUUACUUUGCUGCGUUUGAAAACAGCCCCUGCCCCAGAAAGGGGUAAGGCAAGACACCAGUGUUGUAAGCCAAGUGAAUGGAGAACAUUAAGAAUGAGGAUAAUCAUGUUAUUGAGACAGAAAUAUAUUGCUAUUUAUACCACAAUUCAAAAGUUCUAGAAAAACAUUUCUAGCAAAGGCAGAUAUCUAUAAAAUGUUUAUGUUGGUAAGGAAAACCAGUUGGAAAACACACACAAAUCAAGGUGAAAAGAAAGAUAAAAAAGCAGUUUUCAGGGGAAAAAAAAUAUUAAAGACCCAAAUAAACUCACACAAUUAUAUCUAAAACAAACUGAGCACGUGUAAGCUGUUCCAGACCUUAAACCCUUUCGAAAGCAUCCCUGUGAGCCUCCUCAGAGGGGUAUUCACCAGGGUGCUCUCUGGUUACAGGUGUCGUUCCUAAUCCAAGACCCAAAUCCAUAACCCAGAGGCCUACAGGCACUUCAGGGAAUCGUGAUUCUCCUGUGGGACUCUGUGGCUGGAUUGAACACAUCCAUCUAUAGAUGGAAUUUUCCAUCAGUGGCAGGUUGGAGGUGUUAAUUCAAAUUUCUUUCAUUUUCCUCUAAUGUUCCAGGGCACAACGGGCUGGAAAUCCCUUACAGGAAAUACGAUAAAUGUAGAAAGCCAAAGCAUUUUAGAUCAGUAAAUGAUGUGUGUCAUUCCUACCUGCUGCUGUGGGGGAAAGGAUAUGAGGAAUGGGGUGUUUAUGUGGAGUUUUGCUAAUCUAAUUAUACAUUUUGCCCCACACAUCUGAAUGCCAAUAUCCAGUUGUCACUUGACUGUUAAUGAACCCCUUCCCUGGUGAGACAAAACCCAAUCCUGUCCUAAAUUGCUCAGUGGGGUUCACAGGGACUGUGCAUCUCCAAACACAGCCACCCAAAUUGCCUGGCCACACUCCCCUGCUCUGGGUUUAGAUAAGAAGCAAAAGAAUUGGAGCUUGUUGGGAAUUUUAUCAUGUCUGAAAACGCAGGAACAUCCAGGAAAGGCUGCUAAAACAUCUGUGGGGUUUAUCUGGGGCAACUCCUGGGCAGGAGCAAUCCUGAGGGGAAAGCUCAGAGAAGACCCAGCGCCUCAACUGGAGUUAAACACACCUUGAGUUAGAGGUGAGCUCCAGGUGUGCCAUAACAGCACAGCACAUCACAGGAAAAAUAAAGAGCUUCUCUUCUUACUUCAUACUUCCAACAGUUACGUAGCCAAGGUGUAAAAAGCUGCAUUUUAAUGAAAGCCAAGCCUCUGUAGUGUGGCAGCUUCUGCAUUCAUAUUUCCAAGUGAGAUGCCACAGAAAAUGCCAUUCUCCAGGAGAGCAGAGGGAUUUUCACCCUACAGUGCAUCCUCUGAGGGAGGUUUGGAGCACUGCUGACUGGUUGCACUGCUCAGAAAAGUCCUGAGCAGCCAGUUCUGUCCUGUGCAAACCUCUCUAAUGUGCUCAUGUUGUUAAUACAGUCUUAUUAAUAUGUUCACAGAAACACAGCCACUUCCCUCAGUGACCACGACCAUAUCAAGGUUUAAGUUUUUAAUUCUUAACAUAAUAAAUUCUGGAUCAUCCCCUUCUUUUCUGCCCCCUGAUUUCCAAAUCAUGUCUUGCUUACACAUCCUUCACUGCUAAAUAAUGCUUAAAUUCCAUUUUAUAGACUUAAUUUCUUCCUACAAAGACUACUUUAGCUGGUGUAGCACGUCCAUAUGAGCAGGAUUUUAAAUGGCCAUGCCUGACCUGCCCAUUCCAGCCAUGGGUGGUCACCCUUGUCUGAGUUCUGAAAGGUGUUUCCUAGAUAAACUACCCAGGUAAACGGGGUAAACUACCUCAGAUCAGAGUGAAAGUGCUCUUUCACUCCAUGGCAGUUGGACCAGUCAUUUUGUAAGGAGAGGGAAUGAUCCCAGGUUUGUGCUGAAUCUCACUUUCCUGGCAAUAAUCAGGAGGCAGAUGUGAAAACAAAGCCCUGGCUCUGUGAGCCUGAUGUUCACCUCUGAAAUUUUGGUGUCUGUGCAAGAGAUUUGCUGUGUGGCUCAGGGAAGAUACAGAACCAUCAGGUGGAGAUCACACAUCCUCCCCAGCUACUCCAGGGAUGUGAGAUGCCCUCAAAACCCACACAAAGGCCUGCCUGUCUUUUACAGAGCUGUACAGAUGGGAACAAGAUUUUCUUGCUGUUUGCACUUCGUUUUAUGAGUUAUUUACUUUUAUUUUUUUAUCUGUAGCCUGGGUUUGAGACACUCCUGUGCCCACAGUUCUGCCUCUGGGGAAUCCAGUCAGUGGCUGUUUGUGGCUCAGUCAUUGUUCAAACAAACCCACAGCACACCAGAGCUAUGUGAAGAGAGCCAGCCUGGUUUAUACCGUUUAUAGGUCUAUCCUACAUAAAUAAAAUUACCUUUUUUUAACAUGAAUAGGCCCAAACUUGCCAUAGUUACUGCAUUUGCCAGAACAAAACAGGCAAGGCCAAAAUAAGUUCAGAACUUUCUGUAAGAAGCUUAACAAUCUUUGAAAGCUCUUUGUCAUUCUUUUUUAUCAGAGUCCAUUCCCAGGAUCAUGUAAUUAAAAAUCAGCCCUUCAGUUCCAGGCUUGUGACAAUCCUUGUCAGAAUCCCAGAAUAUUCUGAGCUGGAAAGGGCCCACAAGGAUCAUCAAGUGUGGAUCCAGCAGCAGAUGCAUGACAAACCUUCAACCCAGCAUUCCCGUGGCUGAGACACCAAAAGCAGCAGAGCCCAGCAGCUGUGACACAUGAGCCUAGACAGCAUUUGGGACAAGCUCUGAGACACAUUUCAGUGGAGCAGAACAAUUGUUCUGCAUUUUGCACGGGGCUGUGAGGGGAGCCCUAAGUGAAAAUUGCUGUAACAUGGACACCUAGUGGAGACACUCUUGCCGUGCUCUUUCCGAUUGGAAUACACACCACAAAUGGAACUUUUACCGAUCAUCUCGCUGGAGCCUGGAGUUCUGUGCCCAGCCCAGUGCUGAGCCACACCAGGUGAAGGUGAUGGAGUCAGGAUUUGGCCAAACAGAAGCUGUGCCUCAUUGAACAGCUCACCCAGGGGACUGAUGGAGCAGAAAAACUAAUGACCCAUGCAGAAACAAAAUGGUUCUUCAGCAAAAGGGGGAGAAGGAAAGCAGUGGCUUUGCAGAGACUUGAUCAGAGAAAAUUAAUGUUCACAUCAUUUUCAAAUGCAUCUGGAAUACAAACUGAGGACAAGGAGUGACUGUGAUGCCCUCAGAGAGCCCUGACAGGAUGGGAUGGGAUGGAUCCUACAAGAAUUCCACAUCCAAGUGUGUUUAAUCUCCAAGAACACGCAAUCACUGUCCAUGUCUGAGGUAAAUGUACUCAGGACAUACUCAUCUCUAAUGUCCUCUUUUCUCAUGCUGUUCCCUUCACUGCCAUCCACCUCGGGAUUGCUGCUAUUAUGGGAUUCCUCACUGGAUGCUUGGCCAGUAUUUGACUUCUCUUUUUUUGUCUCCUGUGAAAACCAUCUGAAACUGAGCAGAAACUAACCUUGAUUUAUUUCCUUAAUAAACAAAAUUAAGAUGCUGCAUGUUAAUAAAAAUGAAAAGUA